GACGAACGCUGGCGGCGUGCUUAACACAUGCAAGUCGAACGAAGUGGCGAACGGGUGAGUAACGCGUAAUCAACCUGCCCUUCAGAGGGGGUCAACACUUGGAAACGACUGCUAAUACCGGAUACUGAAGGAGGGGAUUGCGUCUGAUUAGCUAGUUGGAGGGGUAACGGCCCACCAAGGCGAGGAUCAGCAGCCGGUCUGAGAGGAUGGACGGCCACAUUGGGACUGAGACACGGCCCAGAGUGCUACAGGAGGCAGCAGUGGGGAAUCUUCCGCAAUGGACGAAAGUCUGACGGAGCAACGCCGCGUGAGUGAUGACGGCCUUCGGGGUGUAAAGCUCUGUUAAUCGGGACGCGGUACCGGAAUAGAAAGCCACGGCUAACUACGUGCCAGCAGCCGCGGUAAUAC
rnacentral:rRNA from 1 species